GGGUUGUGAGGUUAAGCGACUAAGCGUACACGGUGGAUGCCCUGGCAGUCAGAGGCGAUGAAGGGCGUGCUAAUCUGCGAUAAGCGCCGGUAAGGUGAUAUGAACCGUUAUAACCGGCGAUACCCGAAUGGGGAAACCCAGUGUGAUUCGUCACACUAUCAUUAACUGAAUCCAUAGGUUAAUGAGGCGAACCGGGGGAACUGAAACAUCUAAGUACCCCGAGGAAAAGAAAUCAACCGAGAUUCCCCCAGUAGCGGCGAGCGAACGGGGAGGAGCCCAGAGCCUGAAUCAGCAUGUGUGUUAGUGGAAGCGUCUGGAAAGGCGCGCGAUACAGGGUGACAGCCCCGUACACAAAAGCGCAUGUGCUGUGAGCUCGAUGAGUAGGGCGGGACACGUGGUAUCCUGUCUGAAUAUGGGGGGACCAUCCUCCAAGGCUAAAUACUCCUGACUGACCGAUAGUGAACCAGUACCGUGAGGGAAAGGCGAAAAGAACCCCGGCGAGGGGAGUGAAAAAGAACCUGAAACCGUGUACGUACAAGCAGUGGGAGCACAGGUUUACCUGUGUGACUGCGUACCUUUUGUAUAAUGGGUCAGCGACUUAUAUUCUGUAGCAAGGUUAACCGAAUAGGGGAGC
rnacentral:rRNA from 4 species